rnacentral:rRNA from 1 species
UACGGAGGGUGCAAGCGUUAACCGGAAUUACUGGGCGUAAAGCGUGCGCAGGCGGUUUGUUAAGUCCGCUGUGAAAUCCCCGAGCUCAACUUGGGAAUUGCAGUGGAUACUGGCAAGCUGGAGUAUGGUAGAGGAAGGUGGAAUUCCCGGUGUAGCAGUGAAAUGCGUAGAGAUCGGGAGGAACACCAGUGGCGAAGGCGGCCUUCUGGACCAAUACUGACGCUCAUGCACGAAAGCGUGGGGAGCAAACAGG